rnacentral:misc_RNA from 1 species
AAAUGCGAUAAUUAAUGUGAAUUGCGGAAUUCAGUGAAUCAUCGAGUCUUUGAACGCACAUUGCGCCCCCUGGUAUUCCGGGGGGCAUGCCUGUCCGAGCGUCAUUGCUGCCCUCAAGCACGGCUUGUGUGUUGGGCUUCCGUCCCUGGCAACGGGGACGGGCCCAAAAGGCAGUGGCGGCACCAUGUCUGGUCCUCGAGCGUAUGGGGCUUUGUCACCCGCUCCCGUAGGUCCAGCUGGCAGCUAGCCUCGCAACCAAUCUUUUUAACCAGGUUGACCUCGGAUCAGGUAGGGAUACCCGCUGAACUUAAGC